AUAUGGCACACCCUGGGGGGAUGAGAAUCCCCGACCGGGGUUCGACAACGGGCGCAGCCCGUUGGACGGAAUGGCCGCAGGGCGAGCGAAGCGAGUCAAUCCCCCCUCACCGCCA
rnacentral:sRNA from 1 species